rnacentral:lncRNA from 1 species
CAAGUAGAGAGGACCUUCCUGGCAUCAGUAAAAGGCCCCCAGAAAAAGAGACACAAGUACUAGCAAUUGCAAAUUAUCCAGAGCCCUUCUAAGUUGUAAGAUCUGAAGGAAAUGCCUGCCAUCUAUAGUCUCAGCCACACUUAGUUUCUUAAUCUGCAAAAUGGAAUUAGUACUUACUUUAUGAGGCUGUUGCAGAAAUUCAUUGAGUUGCUACAUGCAAAACACUGAGAACUCAGCUGGGCAUAUAAUAAGCAUUCUAUUGCAUGGCAUUAUUGCCAUCGUUUUUACUUCUGUUACUGCUGCUACUGCUUGUAUUACUUGUGCUUUUUUGAUAUGAAAGUCCACCAUCAGGGAGCACUGUAGUGGAAAAGGUAUUAGGCCGGGCAUAGCCUUUAGUUCUCUGGCCUUGAGUCCUUCAUUUGUGAUAUUCAGUUAACAAUCCUGUGCCAGUAGGGGUAUUAAAGAUUAAAUAAAUGUGAGAAUGUGCCUGAUGCUAAAUCUUCCUCAAAGCAUUAUGGACUCUCAGAGCCAGAAGGAGCUCAUCUCUCCUGUGCCCCUGAUAUGCUGGGAUCUGCAAUAUUACUGGCAACAGGUGGGCCUCCAGAAUCUGCUCCAGGGCUUUUGGAAGUCC